UACGUAGGGUGCAAGCGUUAAUCGGAAUUACUGGGCGUAAAGCGUGCGCAGGCGGUUUUGUAAGUCUGUCGUGAAAUCCCCGGGCUCAACCUGGGAAUUGCGAUGGAGACUGCAAGGCUGGAGUCUGGCAGAGGGGGGUAGAAUUCCACGUGUAGCAGUGAAAUGCGUAGAGAUGUGGAGGAACACCGAUGGCGAAGGCAGCCCCCUGGGUCAAGACUGACGCUCAUGCACGAAAGCGUGGGGAGCAAACGAGG
rnacentral:rRNA from 1 species